UCGAAUCAAAAGUAUCUUCCAACAUUUAUUUAAUUCAACCUUUUUAAAUCUUACCUUUAUAAAGUACCCAGACCAACUUACCUUAUUAUCUAAAUUCAUAGCAACAAUCAAACAAAACAAGCUACACAUAAAUACAUUUAAAUACAUGCCACGACUAAAUUAUCAAACCCUAAGUCAACCUUACCGCAUAUUUUAUACUCAUUCCAUACCAUAAUUUAAUUCAACUAAGACCACAACUAAACAUGUUCACAUCAUAUUCAAACCUUAAAACCGAACACAACGAUUUGUUCAAGCCAUUUUCGCAUGGCUAUAUGAUUUACAAAUCCAAAAUCAAACAUAACAUAUUCUAGCUUAUACAUGCCAUAGUUCCAAAAUGUAACUUAUAAAACACCGAAAGCGUCGAUAGUGUGAUAAGCUUCUCUGACGAUCCCUGAGCUCCUAAAUUGAAUUCAAGAUCUAUGAAACAGAGACAAUUAUACACAGUAAGCUACCUUAGCUUAGUAAGUCAUAAGCAGAUAAACACAUAAGAUAAUAUUAUCAACUUGACUAAACCAAACCAGAGUUAUAUUAUCAUAACACAUGUAGAGCCAAACACGCAUAAACUCAUAUUCUAAGUAUAUAUAUAUAUAUUCAUUUGUAAAUGCCACUUUGGCUGAAUGCCUACAUAACCAUAUUAUCAUAUUGUCGUAUAAUUUCCAAAAUCGAAUAAUCAUUAUAGACCCAAUUCGCAAACCCAUAAGAUUCAUAAGCUCAUGUGUCACUAUAUAAUUUCAUUUUUUUUUGCAACAGUCAAACUGAACUGUUGUCAAAGACAAAACAGAACAGAAACAGAGAAAUAGAAAAAACAGCAGACAAAAUAAAAACACCUACCAAUAAUACUACAACAGCAGAACAACAAUACAAAAACACACCACCAAGCUUUAAACAUUUUCUCCCACUUAAAUCCAGCAAUCACCACGGAAGAUGCCAAUUCGUAACCUUUCUAAUCGGCCACCGAGAGUACAAGUUUACCAGCCUUUAACAUAUCGCCAUCGAUGCUUGCAAAAAUUGCUUUGAGAAGCCAAGGUCUCGUAGCCUUGUUAACACACCACGAACAGACCACCAAAGAUCCAAGUUCAAUAAAUAAUGAAUCAUAAAGUUUCCAGUUCAAAGAUAAAGAAAUUCUAGAGGCACCUUUACUGCAUUAGUCUCGGCCACAACAGCUUCGAUAACAUCCACUGCACUAGAAAAUAAUGCUCUUGCGACACCCUCCUUAUCUCUUAAUACGCUUCCACAAUCAGCUCUCUCCUCUUUUGCAACCCCACACACAAUGAAACUUUAACCAUAUGGAACAUAGCACUGUUGACAUCCCUUUCUUUUAACCAUUACAUUCUUGAUUUUUUACGCCAAAGAGAUUCUUUGAAUUUCAUUGCUUCCCAAAGCUCAAUGUUUAGCUUUUUUAUCUCCUCCAUUUCCUUCUCCGUCAACUUUUUUUAUUCACUUAUUUCAUCAAUCACCUCAAUCCUAUCUUCGCUUUCAAUAAAUCUUUUUUUCCAAAAAAUUGCCAACUUCAACAAUCCAUUUCUAAAGGGCUCCCUUCAAAUUGCGCAACUUAACAGCCGUAAGCCCUCUUACUCCCCCUAUUCCCAGCCAUUCCAUUUUAAAUAACUUCAUACUAUCAUCCUUUUUGAGCCAAGCAUAAUCAGACCUUGACCCCCAAUCAAAAGAUUUGAUAACCAACAAGACUGGAGAAUCUUGAUGAUGAAAAACCCCAAUUUCCAUAUCUUUAUAUUAGCUAUGUGGCCGGUUUUACACAAACACACUACAUAUAAUUAAGACUUAUUCAAUGGUAUCUACAUUGCCGAAUACCCUCAUAAUUACCUUAGCACAUUAUUAGCCAACUUUUCAAAAUCAGUUGGACAUAAAGAAAUUUAGUCCAUACGCACUCAUAUGCGUAAGCUAUUGUACCCAAAUAAUAUUUCAUAUACAUGUUAAUUAUUGUUGAGAAUGGACUGCAAUGCAACAGAAGGCCAUGAUGCAGACCAGCAGCUGCAGCAGACCAGCAUUCAAGCGGGACCAGAAGCAGCUUAAUUAUUUUGUUUACUUUUGUUCAUUUUGUAAUGCCAUCCAAGCUAAAUGUAACUAGACUUUUAGAGUUGUUAAGAUUUGAAUUGAUGGAUGUAAUUGCUAAAAAUUGUUCAGCUUUCUUUUGUGUUACUUUAGUUGGCAACUUGCCAAAACAGGUGGGAGUAGUUACAAGUUUAGGUAACUGACAUUCUAACUUUGUAACUCUUAUAUUUUCAAAUGAAAUGAAAAGAAGCAGUAUUCCAUUCAUUUUCACAUUUUUGCUUUUGAGUUCUCUGUUCUGUUUCUGCUUGCUGUUCGUGAGCUUAUGCUCUUGGUGUUUUCAUUUGUUUGAUUUGUUGCUGCCAGUGUUCCAACAAUUAUGCAACCAAAUAUACAUAUGUCUAUACCAAAGUACUAUAUACUAUUAAAGCCAUGUUAUCAAAUACCUAAAGCUGAACCUUUAGCCAUUUGUUUACGCACACUCAUGUAUCAAAUAUGUAUACCACAUAAUUGCACUUAACAUAUAUCCAGAUAUGUUUCACGAUUACUCACCUGGGCCGAGUACUCACAUGGUUCUUCUAACAUAUACUGCAUAAUUUCCAAACUAAAUUAUCUUUAUCAUGACUUGUACCUAUACUCAUAUAUGCAUAAGUUCAUAACUCAAUGAAUAAUAAUCACACAUAUAUUUAUAGUAUGUGGCCGAACACAUACACAUGUAAAUAAAAUAUAUCCUUCACUUUCAAGGUCAAAUACCAUUAUAAAAACACAUAUAUUUAUACUUAUGAAUCACACUAUGAUAUCAUAUGCAUAUUUUUAGCAAAGGCCAAGUAUACACCACAAUUAUAUUUCGAUUCUUCUAAGGGAUCUGUAAACUUGCACACUCAGUGCCAAUUCCUUGUAACCUGUGCCAAUUCCUUGUAACCUAUCGCACACUUAGUGUCGUUACCUUAAUAGGUUUAUUCUGUCAAAACGAAUUCGAAACACUUUGUAAUCGCACUUUGUCACAUUCGGCUACUAUUUAUAUAAAAUCAUAUUUUUCCAUCCAGCACAGGCACUUUGCAUUUAACUAAAAAUUAAGUACGUCAAUUUGCCUACGAACUUACCUCAAUCGAUGAAAAAUGGAAUGGGACGACUAAUCGAUAACUUUCGGUUUCCCCGAUCCAAACCUGAUUUCUUUAGUUCUUGAUCUAAACAUAUUCAAAUUAAGCUCAUUCAAAUAUAUUUUCACUCAAUUUAAUCCAAACAAACACAAAUGGGCAAAUUACCAUUUUACCCCUGACAUUUUACACUUUUUACAAUUUAGUCCAAUUUACACAAAACACAAAAUAUUCAAAAUUUGACUUUACUAUGCUCAAGCUGAAUCUUUAUUAAGCUCAUACAAGUCCAUAAAUUUCAUUUAUUCACAUCUUAGUCCCUCCAACUAAUAUUUUUACAAUUAAGUCCUAAUUACUCAAAAUCAUCAAAAAUUCCAAUACAAAAUAUAUUGACCCAACACCUAUCUUUCAUAUUUCACCAUCAAACAAAAAAAAUCACAAGCUCUCAUCAAUGGCAUAACUCAAAAUAUUCAUCAAAAUUAAAAAUUUAAGCAUGGGUUUUGUAGCACUCGAAGCAACGAUCUCAAAAACAUAAAAACUAUCAAAAACCGACUAAAAACGAACCUUGAAUUUGAACUUGGGAGAUGGUCGAACCUAGUUUCUUCUAUUUUCUUCUUCUUUUGAUUAUAAUUGGCUAUGGUGAUAUUAUAAGAGCACUUCUUCUUUUGUUUAUAAUUGGCUAUGGUGAUAUUAUAA
rnacentral:lncRNA from 1 species